rnacentral:rRNA from 1 species
GAUGAACGCUGGCGGUAUGCCUAACACAUGCAAGUCGAACGAAGCCUUUCGGGGCUUAGUGGCGGACGGGUGAGUAACGCGUGAGAAUCUGCCUCGAGGAUGGGGACAACAGUUGGAAACGACUGCUAAUACCCAAUAUGGCGAAAGCUGAAAUAUUUAUAGCCUUGAGAGGAGCUCGCGUCCGAUUAGUUAGUUGGUGGUGUAAGAGACUACCAAGGCAGCGAUCGGUAGCUGGUCUGAGAGGAUGAGCAGCCACACUGGGACUGAGACACGGCCCAGACUCCUACGGGAGGCAGCAGUGGGGAAUUUUCCGCAAUGGGCGAAAGCCUGACGGAGCAAUACCGCGUGAGGGAGGAAGGCUUUGGGUUGUAAACCUCUUUUAAUAAGGAAGAAGAAGUGACGGUACUUAUUGAAUAAGCAUCGGCUAACUCCGUGCCAGCAGCCGCGGUAAU